rnacentral:rRNA from 1 species
CACCGCCCGUCACACCAUGGGAGUUGGCAACACCCGAAGUCGGUGAGGUAACUGCUUGCAGAGCCAGCCGCCUAAGGUGGGGUCGAUGACUGGGGUG